UACGGAGGAUCCAAGCGUUAUCCGGAUUCAUUGGGUUUAAAGGGUGCGUAGGCGGAAUGAUAAGUCAGCGGUGAAAUCCCUCGGCUUAACCGAGGAACUGCCGUUGAUACUGUCAAUCUUGAGUACAUUUGAUGUGGGCGGAAUGUGUCAUGUAGCGGUGAAAUGCUUAGAUAUGACACAGAACACCGAUUGCGAAGGCAGCUCACAAAACUGUAACUGACGCUGAGGCAACGAAAG
rnacentral:rRNA from 1 species